rnacentral:rRNA from 1 species
GACAGAGGGUGCAAACGUUGUUCGGAAUUACUGGGCGUAAAGCGCGUGUAGGCUGCUCAGAAAGUCGGAUGUGAAAGCCCUGGGCUUAACCUAGGAAGUGCAUUCGAAACUUCUGAGCUAGAGUUCUGGAGAGGAAGGCGGAAUUCUCGGUGUAGAGGUGAAAUUCGUAGAUAUCGAGAGGAACACCGGUGGCGAAGGCGGCCUUCUGGACAGUGACUGACGCUGAGACGCGAAAGCGUGGGGAGCAAACAGG